GUGCCAGCCGCCGCGGUAAUACAGAGGGGGCAAGCGUUGUUCGGAAUUACUGGGCGUAAAGGGCGCGUAGGCGGCCUUCUAAGUCAGACGUGAAAUCCCUCGGCUCAACCGGGGAACUGCGUCUGAGACUGGAAGGCUUGAAUCCGGGAGAGGGAUGUGGAAUUCCAGGUGUAGCGGUGAAAUGCGUAGAUAUCUGGAGGAACACCGGUGGCGAAGGCGGCAUCCUGGACCGGUAUUGACGCUGAGGCGCGAAAGCCAGGGGAGCAAACGGGAUUAGAAACCCUGGUAGUCC
rnacentral:rRNA from 1 species